GCUCAUCUCACAGUGAUAAUCAAAUAUUGCACUUUCAGUAGUAUUUGCUGAUUCUUCUUCUUCAGCACACGUUUCAAAGGAUGAGCACACCUCUGAACUC